GACGAACGCUGGCGGCGUGCUUAACACAUGCAAGUCGAACGGAAAGGCCCUGCUGUUGUGGGGUGCUCGAGUGGCGAACGGGUGAGUAACAAGUGAGUAACCUGCCCUUGACUUUGGGAUAACUUCAGGAAACUGGGGCUAAUACCGGAUAGGAGCUCCUGCUGCAUGGUGGGGGUUGGAAAGUUUCGGCGGUUGGGGAUGGACUCGCGGCUUAUCAGCUUGUUGGUGGGGUAGUGGCUUACCAAGGCUUUGACGGGUAGCCGGCCUGAGAGGGUGACCGGCCACAUUGGGACUGAGAUACGGCCCAGACUCCUACGGGAGGCAGCAGUGGGGAAUAUUGCACAGUGGGCGGAAGCCUGAUGCAGCAACGCCGCGUGCGGGAUGACGGCCUUCGGGUUGUAAACCGCUUUCGCCUGUGACGAAGCGUGAGUGACGGUAAUGGGUAAAGAAGCACCGGCUAACUACGUG
rnacentral:rRNA from 1 species